rnacentral:rRNA from 1 species
AUUGAACGCUGGCGGCAGGCCUAACACAUGCAAGUCGAACGAGUGGCGGACGGGCGAGUAAUGUCUGGGAAACUGCCUGAUGGAGGGGGAUAACUACUGGAAACGGUAGCUAACACAGCAUACAAUCAGAUGUGCUCAGAUGGGAUUAGAUAGCUGGUGGGGUAAAGGCUCACCAAGGGGACGAUCCCUAGCCGGUCUGAGAGGAUGACCAGCCACACUGCGACUGAGACACGGUCCAGACUCCUACGGGAGGCAGCAGUGGGGAAUAUUGCGCAAUGGGCGCAAGCCUGAUGCAGCCAUGCCGCGUGUAUGAAGAAGGCCUGCGGGUUGUAAAGUACUUUCGGCAGGGAGGCGUUACCCACAGAAGAAGCACCGGCUAACUCCGUGCCAGCAGCCGCGGUAAUAC